UACGUAGGGGGCAAGCGUUGUCCGGAAUCAUUGGGCGUAAAGAGCGUGUAGGCGGCCCGAUAAGUCCGCUGUGAAAGUCCAGGGCUCAACCCUGGGAUGCCGGUGGAUACUGUCGGGCUCGAGUCCGGAAGAGGAGUGUGGAAUUCCUGGUGUAGCGGUGAAAUGCGCAGAUAUCAGGAGGAACACCAAUGGCGAAGGCAGCGCUCUGGGACGUGUCUGACGCUGAGACGCGAAAGCGUGGGGAGCAAACAGG
rnacentral:rRNA from 1 species